rnacentral:SRP_RNA from 1 species
GGUCGGGCCCCUUGGACGCUUGGCCCGUGAACCUGGUCAGGGCUUGACGGCAGCAGCCAUAAGCGGCGUCAUGCGAGCCUCGGGUGUUCUGGCCGUC